rnacentral:rRNA from 1 species
GACGAACGCUGGCGGCGUGCUUAACACAUGCAAGUCGAACGGAAAGGCCCUGCUUUUGUGGGGUGCUCGAGUGGCGAACGGGUGAGUAACACGUGAGUAACCUGCCCUUGACUUUGGGAUAACUUCAGGAAACUGGGGCUAAUACCGGAUAGGAGCUCCUGCUGCAUGGUGGGGGUUGGAAAGUUUCGGCGGUUGGGGAUGGACUCGCGGCUUAUCAGCUUGUUGGUGGGGUAGUGGCUUACCAAGGCUUUGACGGGUAGCCGGCCUGAGAGGGUGACCGGCAACAUGGGGAAGGAUAGACGCCCCAACCCCCGCGGGGAGCAAGAAGGGGGAAAUAUGGAAAAAGGGGCGGAAGCCGGAGGCACCACCGCCGCGGGGGGGUGGAGGGCCGUCGGUUUUAAACCCUUUUCCGCCUGUGACGAGGCGGGAGGGCGGGAAGGGGAAAAAGAGCCCCGGCCAACCUCGGCC